rnacentral:lncRNA from 1 species
ACGUCGUGUGUUGAUGGAGAGCUCUGGAAACAAAGACAAACACUGUUUGUGUCAGCCAUGGACAUGAAAACAGUGCGCAAAGAGGACGUAUCACCCCUUUGAAAGCUCCCCGGAGAAGACCGACAGGCCAAAACUUUGGUGGUGUUUGAGAUUCGCAACACAGCUGAGGUAAUCCUUGAGAGUUUUCCAUAUUUUUGCCGCUAUGGCCCUGCUCAACAAGUGAUUACAUGAUUGGCAUUGUCGAUAAAGUCUACCGUAAAACGUGAAAACUCCUCCACGUGGAGGGGCCGGCUCGUCGUCAACACGCUGUUGAUCGCCGAAUUGAAUCUUCCGUCCCCUCAUCAGUUCUUUUGCUUAAGACCUGAGAAAAGGAAAAAUAUGGUGCUGGGAGACGCGGCGAGCUUACAAAGACGAUUGUCGAGUUAAGUACCUCUCUCAGUCGCAGCUUUAGAUUAUAGCAUGGAUAGAUUUCUUGAGCCAGCCAUCUAUCUUCGUCUGAGGCGAUGAUGCCGUCAAGAGCACAAGACAAUCAUACUAGAUCAAUGGCUGCCAGCAGCAGCAAGAAGAGAUCCCUGGAACAGAAGAACGAUGAGCAAAACAACUUAGAAUUUGGGAACAGCAUCGACACGGACCUCUCUGGUUGCUUCCAAAAGUUCAUCGCGAACUCCGUCGACACGGCCGGAUCAAGCAGCAGCACCAACUGGGCUCCAGAGCUCCUG